rnacentral:rRNA from 1 species
GAUGAACGCUGGCGGCGUGCAUAAUACAUGCAAGUCGAGCGAACAGAUAAGGAGCUUGCUCCUUUGACGUUAGCGGCGGACGGGUGAGUAACACGUGGGUAACCUACCUAUAAGACUGGGAUAACUUCGGGAAACCGGAGCUAAUACCGGAUAACAUUUGGAACCGCAUGGUUCUAAAGUGAAAGAUGGUUUUGCUAUCACUUAUAGAUGGACCCGCGCCGUAUUAGCUAGUUGGUAAGGUAACGGCUUACCAAGGCGACGAUACGUAGCCGACCUGAGAGGGUGAUCGGCCACACUGGAACUGAGACACGGUCCAGACUCCUACGGGAGGCAGCAGUAGGGACUCUUCCGCAAUGGGCGAAAGCCUGACGGAGCAACGCCGCGUGAGUGAUGAAGGGUUUCGGCUCGUAAAACUCUGUUAUUAGGGAAGAACAAACGUGUAAGUAACUGUGCACGUCUUGACGGUACCUAAUCAGAAAGCCACGGCUAACUACGUG